ACAAUCCAUUAUUAGGGAGAAUGGAAAGGGAGUUGUAAUUGCUUUUGGGAGUUCGGUGCCUAAUAAGCCUUGGGUUAGAAGCCCUAUGGAUUGUU
rnacentral:tRNA from 1 species